rnacentral:rRNA from 1 species
GUCGAGGGGUAUGCUUCUUCGGGAGCAGAGACCGGCGCACGGGUGCGUAACGCGUAUGCAAUCUACCUUUUACAGAGGGAUAGCCCAGAGAAAUUUGGAUUAAUACCUCAUAGUAUAAUAGCUCGGCAUCGAGCAAUUAUUAAAGUCACAACGGUAAAAGAUGAGCAUGCGUCCCAUUAGCUAGUUGGUAAGGUAACGGCUUACCAAGGCUACGAUGGGUAGGGGUCCUGAGAGGGAGAUCCCCCACACUGGUACUGAGACACGGACCAGACUCCUACGGGAGGCAGCAGUGAGGAAUAUUGGACAAUGGGCGCAACCCAGAUCCAGCCAUGCCGCGUGCAGGAUGACGGUCCUAUGGAUUGUAAACUGCUUUUGUACAGGAAGAAACAGUUCUACGUGUAGAACCUUGACGGUACUGUAAGAAUAAGGAUCGGCUAACUCCGUGCCAGCAGCCGCGGUAAUACGGAGGAUCCAAGCGUUAUCCGGAAUCAUUGGGUUUAAAGGGUCCGUAGGCGGUUUAAUAAGUCAGUGGUGAAAGCCCAUCGCUCAACGGUGGAACGGCCAUUGAUACUGUUAAACUUGAAUUAUUAGGAAGUAACUAGAAUAUGUAGUGUAGCGGUGAAAUGCUUAGAGAUUACAUGGAAUACCAAUUGCGAAGGCAGGUUACUACUAAUUGAUUGACGCUGAUGGACGAAAGCGUGGGUAGCGAACAGGAUUAGAUACCCUGGUAGUCCACGCCGUAAACGAUGGAUACUAGCUGUUGGGCGCAAGUUCAGUGGCUAAGCGAAAGUGAUAAGUAUCCCACCUGGGGAGUACGUUCGCAAGAAUGAAACUCAAAGGAAUUGACGGGGGCCCGCACAAGCGGUGGAGCAUGUGGUUUAAUUCGAUGAUACGCGAGGAACCUUACCAAGGCUUAAAUGUAGAUUGACCGUUUUGGAAACAGAACUUUCGCAAGACAAUUUACAAGGUGCUGCAUGGUUGUCGUCAGCUCGUGCCGUGAGGUGUCAGGUUAAGUCCU